rnacentral:rRNA from 1 species
UACGGAGGGGGCGAGCGUUAUUCGGAAUUAUUGGGCGUAAAGGGCGCGUAGGCGGCUGUACAAGUCAAAGGUGAAAUCCCUCGGCUCAACUGAGGAACUGCCUUUGAAACUGUACGGCUUGAGGCCGGGAGGGGGUAGCGGAAUUCCCAGUGUAGCGGUGAAAUGCGUAGAUACUGGGAGGAACACCAGUGGCGAAGGCGGUUGCCUGGAGCUUUGCUGACGCUGAGGCGCGAAAGCGUGGGGAGCGAUCCGG